rnacentral:lncRNA from 1 species
UGAAACUCCAUACACAUAUGAUCUUGACUUUUGGGACUUAAGACUCAAGGAGAAGACAAGCAGAAGGCAUGAUAUUUUGGGAAUCCACAACAAAUCAUGCAAGCUUAUCACGUAGAUUUUCUCACUUGUAUUUGUAAUGAUACUAUCAAUUAAUAUCAUCAAUAGUAACUACUAACAAGUUUUCUAAUUCCUAUUCAAA